rnacentral:rRNA from 1 species
GACAGAGGUGGCAAGCGUUGUUCGGAUUUACUGGGCGUAAAGAGUGCGUAGGUGGUGAGGUAAGACCUGUGGGAAAGACCUGGGCUUAACCCAGGAAGGUCGCAAGUGACUGCCUCGCUUGAGGACGGGAGAGGAGAGCGGAAUUCCCGGUGUAGCGGUGAAAUGCGUAGAGAUCGGGAGGAACACCAGAGGCGAAAGCGGCGACCUGGACAGGUACUGACACUCAACUACGAAAGCGUGGGGAGCAAACAGG